UACGAAGGGUGCAAGCGUUAAUCGGAAUUACUGGGCGUAAAGCGCGCGUAGGUGGUUCGUUAAGUUGAAUGUGAAAGCCCCGGGCUCAACCUGGGAACUGCAUCCAAAACUGGCGAGCUAGAGUAUGGCAGAGGGUGGUGGAAUUUCCUGUGUAGCGGUGAAAUGCGUAGAUAUAGGAAGGAACACCAGUGGCGAAGGCGACCACCUGGGCUAAUACUGACACUGAGGUGGCUAAGCGUCGGGGGCAAACAGCAUUAGAUGCCCCGGUAGUCC
rnacentral:rRNA from 1 species